ACUGCUAUAAAGAUUGCUAUAAGGUAAUAUGUCUAUGUGUAUUAGUCAGGGUAAUCUCAGUGGCUUAACACAAGACAAGGUGUUCACUUGGCAUCCUCCUACAUGGUUAUUCAGAAUUCUGGUUCCUUUAUCUCAUUGCACCGCUGUUCACUGGCUGCUCUGCAUUUAACCAGCAAAAAUGUUGAGAGUGAGGAAAAUCCUGCAGUACGUCUUGUGGGCAGGCUUGGAAACGGAAUUCAACACUUCCAUAAACAUUUCACUGGCCAGAACCUGAUCCCCCCGGUUCCAAUCUACAUGCAAGGGAAGCUGCUAACACAGUCCUGUUUGCCUGCAAGAGGAAAGGAGAUUGAAAAGAAAUUCAUGCUAAUGGUAUCCAAUGAAACAAGCUAAGAUGCAUGAAGAAAGAGUUUACGAUUUCCCUUUCUCCUUCCAGCCCCCACCCAGGCUGUGGUAGAGAUGACAACUUCUCAUCACUAUCUGUUUUUCUCGUCUUCCUGGUGCACAACUAGAAGACAUUUCUCAUUCCUCUUGCAUUUGGUGAGGCCACACUGUUAGUGACUACUCACCAAGGAAGUUUAGGAAAAGUGAGACUUCUCCAUCUUUUUGCCAAUUGCUGGAUGAAUGAAGACUUUCCGAAGGAAGGAAAGACCGCAAGAUAGGAGGAACACAGGUGUGCUGGUUUAUCAGUGUAUUGCCUCUCAGUGCCAAACCCACUCUUCCUUGCCCUGCUUUGUUACGCUGGAGCCAGAUCCUAUAAACAAACACGUCUCCCGUUCCAGGUGGCACAAGAAUGUGGCAGCAAACAGCAGCCCGGACUCCUAGAGGCACUCAUCCUCCAGCAAGUUUCCCUGGCUCUCCAGCGGGCAGCAUCUAACUAUAAGAGACUACCUUGGCUUUGCACCAUUAC
rnacentral:lncRNA from 1 species